AGAUGGGAGCUUGCUCCCUGAUGUUAGCGGCGGACGGGUGAGUAACACGUGGGUAACCUGCCUGUAAGACUGGGAUAACUCCGGGAAACCGGGGCUAAUACCGGAUGGUUGUCUGAACCGCAUGGUUCAGACAUAAAAGGUGGCUUCGGCUACCACUUACAGAUGGACCCGCGGCGCAUUAGCUAGUUGGUGAGGUAACGGCUCACCAAGGCGACGAUGCGUAGCCGACCUGAGAGGGUGAUCGGCCAC
rnacentral:rRNA from 1 species